rnacentral:rRNA from 1 species
AGUGAACGCUGGCGGUAGGCCUAACACAUGCAAGUCGAACGGCAGCACAGUAAGAGCUUGCUCUUACGGGUGGCGAGUGGCGGACGGGUGAGGAAUACAUCGGAAUCUACUUUUUCGUGGGGGAUAACGUAGGGAAACUUACGCUAAUACCGCAUACGACCUACGGGUGAAAGCAGGGGAUCUUCGGACCUUGCGCGAUUGAAUGAGCCGAUGUCGGAUUAGCUAGUUGGCGGGGUAAAGGCCCACCAAGGCGACGAUCCGUAGCUGGUCUGAGAGGAUGAUCAGCCACACUGGAACUGAGAAACGGUCCAGACGCCUACGGGAGGCAGCAGUGGGGAAUAUUGGACAAUGGGCGCAAGCCUGAUCCAGCCAUACCGCGUGGGUGAAGAAGGCCUUCGGGUUGUAAAGCCCUUUUGUUGGGAAAGAAAAGCAGCAGGUUAAUACCCCGCUGUUCUGACGGUACCCAAAGAAUAAGCACCGGCUAACUUCGUG